rnacentral:rRNA from 1 species
GAUGAACGCUAGCGGCAGGCUUAAUACAUGCAAGUCGAGGGGCAGCAUGACUGUAGCAAUACAGUUGAUGGCGACCGGCAAACGGGUGCGGAACACGUACAGAACCUUCCUUCGAGCGGGGAAUAACCCAGAGAAAUUUGGAUUAAUACCCCAUAGUAUAUUGGAGUGGCAUCACUUUGAUAUUAAAAAUUUAUUACUUGAAGAUGGCUGUGCGGCUGAUUAGAUAGUGGGCGGGGUAACGGCCCACCAAGUCUGCGAUCAGUAACUGGUGUGAUAGCACGACCAGUAACAAGGGCACUGAGACAGGGGCCAGGCUCCUACGGGAGGCAGCAGUAAGGAAUAUUGGUCAAUGGACGAAAGUCUGAGCCAGCCCUGCCGCGUGGAGGAUGAAGGCCCUCUGGGUUGUAAACUUCUUUUAUCUGGGAAGAAAAAGGACCAUUCUAGGUCAACUGAAGGUACCAGAGGAAUAAGCACCGGCUAACUCCGUGCCAGCAGCCGCAGUAAAAC